CAGAAAAUCUGCCAUCCCAAACCCAAAUCUCCUUCCCACUGGCCACCAGCCUGAGCAGGAGCUUCAUACAGGUGCUCCAUCCCAGCUCUGACUUCUGCUGGAUAUUUCCCUAUUCCUGGCAACAGGGAGAGCCUCACAUGGUGCAGAGAUAGAAAAAUAACUGCAGCUCUCCUUCCAGCCCAUUAAUUCUCUUCCAUGUGUGAGCACACACAACUGGCAGGAAUCACAGGGCAGACAUCUCCACACUGCAGAAACUCCAAAAAAUAAAAAAUUAGAUUUGUUUUGAAGCUGGGUUUAA
rnacentral:lncRNA from 1 species